GGAAUGUAGCUCAGUGGUAGAGUGCUUGCCUAGUACGCGUGAGGCACUGGGUUCCAUCCUCAGUACCA
rnacentral:tRNA from 1 species